AUUGAACGCUGGCGGCAGGCCUAACACAUGCAAGUCGAAUGGUAACAGGAAACAGCUUGCUGUUUCGCUGACGAGUGGCGGACGGGUGAGUAAUGUCUGGGAAACUGCCUGAUGGAGGGGGAUAACUACUGGAAACGGUAGCUAAUACCGCAUAACGUCGCAAGACCAAAGAGGGGGACCUUCGAGCCUCUUGCCAUCAGAUGUGCCCAGAUGGGAUUAGCUAGUAGGUGGGGUAACGGCUCACCUAGGCGACGAUCCCUAGCUGGUCUGAGAGGAUGACCAGCCACACUGGAACUGAGACACGGUCCAGACUCCUACGGGAGGCAGCAGUGGGGAAUAUUGCACAAUGGGCGCAAGCCUGAUGCAGCCAUGCCGCGUGUAUGAAGAAGGCCUUCGGGUUGUAAAGUACUUUCAGCGGGGAGGAAGGGAGUAAAGUUAAUACCUUUGCUCAUUGACGUUACCCGCAGAAGAAGCACCGGCUAACUCCGUG
rnacentral:rRNA from 1 species